GUGAUCUAGCCAUGGGCAGGUUGAAGGUUGGGUAACACUAACUGGAGGACCGAACCGACUAAUGUUGAAAAAUUAGCGGAUGACUUGUGGCUGGGGGUGAAAGGCCAAUCAAACCGGGAGAUAGCUGGUUCUCCCCGAAAGCUAUUUAGGUAGCGCCUCGUGAAUUCAUCUCCGGGGGUAGAGCACUGUUUCGGCAAGGGGGUCAUCCCGACUUACCAACCCGAUGCAAACUGCGAAUACCGGAGAAUGUUAUCACGGGAGACACACGGCGGGUGCUAACGUCCGUCGUGAAGAGGGAAACAACCCAGACCGCCAGCUAAGGUCCCAAAGUCAUGGUUAAGUGGGAAACGAUGUGGGAAGGCCCAGACAGCCAGGAUGUUGGCUUAGAAGCAGCCAUCAUUUAAAGAAAGCGUAAUAGCUCACUGGUCGAGUCGGCCUGCGCGGAAGAUGUAACGGGGCUAAACCAUGCACCGAAGCUGCGGCAGCGACACUAUGUGUUGUUGGGUAGGGGAGCGUUCUGUAAGCCUGUGAAGGUGUGCUGUGAGGCAUGCUGGAGGUAUCAGAAGUGCGAAUGCUGACAUAAGUAACGAUAAAGCGGGUGAAAAGCCCGCUCGCCGGAAGACCAAGGGUUCCUGUCCAACGUUAAUCGGGGCAGGGUGAGUCGACCCCUAAGGCGAGGCCGAAAGGCGUAGUCGAUGGGAAACAGGUUAAUAUUCCUGUACUUGGUGUUACUGCGAAGGGGGGACGGAGAAGGCUAUGUUGGCCGGGCGACGGUUGUCCCGGUUUAAGCGUGUAGGCUGGUU
rnacentral:rRNA from 1 species